ensembl:lincRNA
AUGGAUAAAAUCCUGUCUAAAUGGUCGGGAUGUGCCCUUGACCCAAAAGCCCUCAGUGACAAGUUCUUUGAGACCAUCGGAAAAAAUUGGAUUCCUGACCCCACCAUGACAUGGCUGCUGCACUUGUAUCCUAAAAAUUCUUGCCUUUACUGGGCCCCUAAAAUACAAUAUGCUGACGUUGAAAUGUCAAUUCGGGAGGGGAACACAACCCUACUGUCAGGAUGUUGUCCAUUGCACAGAGAGAUCAUGAAUCUAACAUUUGACAGGGAAGAACCCAAUUGGAUGCGAGGUGGAAUUUGGUCUGAUUGGUUUCCUCUCUCACAUUUUGUAAAUUAUCUUGUACACCUAAUGUGCCAUUAUCCCACUAUACCGGUGCUUCCAAAAAUGCAGGAACCCGAUCUAUAUAAUUCAAACAGGUAUCGAGAAAUAUGGGCUCGCCAAAAUGACCCAUACAGGUUAUAUAAGAUUAUAACUUUCCCAAAAUCAUUAGAGGCCUAUUCUCUGAAUUCAAAAAUUAAAAGCCUCUACAGCAAACUUCUGAGAGACUUAAGGCCCAUCCAUUUGGAACUGAUUCAAUCCUGGGAUUGUUGUUCUGCUGAUAAAUAUGUCCCUUUGACCUCUCCUAGGACUCUCCAGGAGGUAGCAGUUCGACAAUUAUUCGUUAAUGCGAGACAAAAAGCUGAGAUUGAACUCGAGGCCCAACAGAAUUGAGAUUGGCACCACAAACAUGGAACCAAACCACAGAGACCCAGAAGAUCUUCCCCUGCCUUAGGUUCCAUGAAGCCCCCAAACAGCAGGAAGUAGUUUUAUGAGGACAUCACCACAAGGUCCCCAAGAUUGGGUCCCAAGGUCCAUGAGAAGGGGGAAAUGUGGGACCCUAAAAAUCGGGCCCAAAUCCCAAGACCCUCUACUCAGCCUAAUUAACUCUUAUUUUGAGCUGAAAAGCCAUCCGGUAUCAGGGCCAAACUUCAAAUUAACUUAGUCAGUAAAAAUUUGCUCGGUUUGCUUAAUUUACUUACUUGUGAUAAGAACAGAGUCAGGAGGAUGGGAGGAAGGCCAUUCCAACCUCAAGGAGAAAGAACAGGAAGUUCUACAUAGAUAAGAAGAGUACACUGCAUCCUUGAGCAUACUAACCCCUUUUUGAACUGACCCUCUCCCCAAGCUAAAGUAAACUUUCCGCUUUUGCAAGAGCCCCAGCAACAUCCAAUAGAUUUAGAAAAUUAGAAAAGAAGCCAAUAGAAUAGAGAGAACUUCAAGCCACCCAAACCCUAUAAAAAUAGCCUGAUUUAGUGGGUCAAGACUUCCAGUUUGAAGCCGCUGUGUCGGUGACACUGGGAGUCCAGGCUCGAGCUUGCAAUAAACUCCUCAUGUAUUUACAUCAGAAGAGUUUCCUGGUGGUCUUCUUGGGGAUUUCGCGACUUGGGCACAACAGAAGGAACUAGAUGUUUCUAUUUGUUUCCGCUCUACAGCACAGUUUAAAUAGUGUUGUGCCUGACCUGAGUGAGACCCUCUCAGCAAACAUGCAACCCUCAACAAACAAUAGGAAACCACUAAAGGGCCAUGCUGUCUUCAGUAAACAGAACAGAUGGCUACAAAGAAAAUUUAAGACAGGAUGUACAAUCUCUCCAGCACUGGGAAGUUUGGUAUUAUUUGCACACCUGCACUGACCAUUCUGGGAAUUCUGACCCCAAGCAUUCCACCCUAGAUUCCUUAGGAUUACAUCCUCUAUCCCUAUGCCCUAUAAAAACCUAAUUUCUUCACUGGCUAAUUGCUGACAUCUUUCUUGAUCUCAGCUGAACAGCUUGAUCCCACGCAGAACAAAUCAGCUCUCAUUGCUCACAGAAAGCCUGUAUCCCAGUGGUUUCUCAUUCAGUAUUUGUAACAAAUAGCAAAGCUAUGCCAAGUUCCUUGAGAGCUUCCUCUAAAACUGCCUGGGCUAGCAUAUUUGAAAGAGAUGAUUCUUAGAGCAAUCAACUUAUUCCAUAGCUGUUGACUCCAUAUUUCCCCUGUUUCUUUUGCUUAAUUCUUUUGAUUGUUGGACAGUGACUUAAAACAUAGACCACUGGUUUAAAUAGAUGGUGUCUACCUUUAAUGAAUUCUAUUCUUGCACUCCAAUUGAUUGUAUUUCAGCCAGUGUUAGAGAAUGUUAUUCUAUCAGAGGAACAGAGAUGUUGGUAGUGUUUAGGGACUCUGUCCUACACCAACUGUAGGAUUAAGGGAAAAAAAUUUUAAAAGUAUGAAGCAUUUCAGCCAUUUCACAAUAACAUUUUCUUCCAAUACCAGGAAAUCUCCAGUCAGCAUGCAAGCCUCAGUUUUUAAAAUGUUGAGGCUGCAAAUUUUCUUGAAGAUGUAAUGUACAACUGAACUUUUGUUCUUUUAAAAUAUAUACAAAUAUACAGGAACAAAUACCCAUGCAAGCUCAAAUCAUAAUUCAAACAAUGAAUGUUGAACUUGUAAGGCUUUGGAAAAAAUGGGACAAGUGUUUGGGAGCCACUCAAGGGAAAGAAUUCACCAGGGUGGCUUUGAAGAGUCACGGUUGGGAGAAUUCCUAGAGUGGUAUAUGCAGAGAAACUUCCAUAGGCCUCCACUCUAGUGGAGCUAGCCUUGCCUGCCACCAACCAGUUCACUGACUGUAGCUAGUCAAACCUCCUUUCUACUCUCAACCCACAUGCCCAUACUUUCUGCCAGUGGCUGGCUGCAACGGGGUCUGCUUUGGCUGUGGGAUGAGCUGAACUAUUCUAAGGCAUUCAGGGAACCUGAGCAUCCUGGUCUGUGGGCAGAAGAGAGAGCAUCACUGGGCUCUGUGUCACUUCAUGCACUUAAAGAUCUUGGGGCAGUGUAAAGCAUUGCAUUAGCACUCAAUAGGUGCUGUUACUUAUAAUUACCAUUUAAAUAUUUGGAUCCAGUUCUAUGAGGUCUCCAGUGGAAGACAACAUAAGUAAAGGUUCACAGCAUCUGCCACCCUUUAACCAUAGGGGGUCUUUAACUUAGGUUAGAGAUAGGUCUUCUUUAUCUCUGAGUCUUCUACUCUCUUUUCCCAUCUAACACACAUCACAGAAUUGUUCUAAAUGACCCUGGGACUCUGCUUUGCUUGGACAGUAAGCUCUAGGGAUCCUCUGUUUCACAGCAAGAUGUGCUGUGCUGAGUUCAGUCUCAGGUCAUGCCCUUCCUGGCCUCUCCCCCUCCAGUAGCUGAAAGGGCAAUAACAGGACUUUUUAGGAUCUCUAAGUGUGGCUAUGGUAGAUAAUACCUACGAAGACCGAGGAUGUAGCUCAUUGGAGCUGGCAGCCACCUGAUAAUUCCUAUGAACUAAAGACUGGUGCCCACAUGGUUUGUCAUCCUGUUGUUGACUUGGCUACUCUCGGUACUGUUUCUAUAACAGAAGAUGAUAUCGAGGCUAGAGACCUUCGCUUGGAAUGCAUAUCCACUCUAAGUUUCCUGCCAAGAGUCCAGGCUCUAGAACCCAUUUUGCAUGCAAACUGUGUACUUUUUUCUUUUGGAUCUUUUCUAUUGAGUCUUCCCAGGAUUAUGGGCUGAACUGUGCUUCCCUCAGACUUCAUAUGCUGAAAUCCUAACCUCCAAUACCUCCAAAUAUACCCACAUUUAGAGAGACGGUCCUUAAAGCAAUGAUGAAGUGAAAAUAAAGCUGUCAGUGUAGGCCCUAAUCUAAUAUGGCUGUUUUCCUAAGAAUAGAAAAUUUGGACACACACAGACACCAGCUAUGUGUGCACACAGGGAACUCAUCAUGUGAGGACUCAGUGGUUUGUGAGCCAAGGAGAGAAGGCUCUGAAGAAACAUCUUGCUCUUGGACUUGUAGCAUUCAGUGCCAUGAUGAAAGAAUUUUCCACUGUUUAAUCUAUAGAGUCUGUGGUGUUUUGUCAUAGGAGCCUGUGUCAACAAAUGCUGCCAGUUAACAGUCUGUUCCUAAGCCCUGCUAGGGCAUGUUGUAGAAUUCAUUCAAAAUCUACUGGCUGGCAGGUAGUAUCCAGAAUAGGCUUGAUUAACAUGACCUCAUUCCAAGCUCCUGCUUCCUCCCACAAUAAUCACACAAAGCCACCAAGACACCAUUAAGAUAUUAAUAGUUGAGGUGCUAGAUCCAGGGCACCCAUUCUAUAGGAGUGGCCAGCCCCAAGGACAUGCCAUGCUAACUGUAUAGAUGAGAAAAUAAAGCUCAGAGAAGUUAAGCAGAUAGCUUGAGUUCUACCCUAAAAGUUAGAACCCUGUUCAGCACUGUGACUAUGUGGGUGUUGAGUGAGACCAUCCCAAAAGAAGGCUGUUCUCAGUGGCUGGGGCCAUCUGCAAGAUCCAAGUAUGACUCCUGCUGGUGGCUAAUGGGGACCUAUUCAGCAAGAUUGCAUCAAUACAGUUGGUAUCACCAUAUGGAGGACAUUUGACCAGACUUAUGAUCACUAAGCCGUGUACACAGUUGAUCAUAAGACAUAGGAGUGUCAGUCACUGACCAAGGUAUGAGCAGGUUCUUAAGGAGAAGAAUGGACUUCGUGGCUUAGAAUUUCUAUUGAAGAGAGUUGGGAACAGUCAUCUAGGUGGAAGUGGGGGUGUCAUUUUGCUUAGAUUAUGUUUACUGACUUAGAAGGUGGGGCCAAUAUGCAAGUGGCUGAUGUUUCCAAAUUGCCUUCUGGUGUUUUCAUUGCUUGGUGUUGAUUGUGGGAAUAUAAAACAAUUAAUGUUAUAGCGGCACAGUUUGUAAUAGCUAAAACUUGGAAACCGCCCAUUUGCCCAUCAGUUGGAGGUUGGAUAAAGAAGAUGUGGUUUUUCUAUAAAAUGGAAUACUACUCAGCCAUAAAGAAUGAGAAAUUAGAUUCAUUCAUAGGAAAAUGGAUACAAUAUUGAGGAUAUACUCCUAAGUGAAAUAAAUAAGUCACACAUGUAUAAAUACCAAAUAGUUUCUCUGGUGUGAAUAAACUGUAAUAGUACAUAAGAUCCUAAUGAUGUAAUGGACAAUGUGAAAUAGGAAGAAAAGGGCUAAAGGUGUAGGCAAAGUGGGAAGGGUAGGGGAAAAGUAAUAAGGGGAAAGAAAAAAAUGUGAGAAAACAAAACAAUGGAAAUAAAGUGUUUGUAAAUGGGGAGGGGAGGAGGGGGUGAAGGGAGGGCAGGGACAAGGGGAAAAAAUGAGAACCAAGACCUGUCAUGUAAAGGUACAAGAUCCCAAUAAUGAAUGUAACUGUACUGUAUACCUAAAAUGUACCAAUAAACUCAAUAAAAAAAAAUUAAUGGAUAGUCCCUGAACCUUUCUGAGAAUGCCUGGUUGUGAAGGGCAGUAUAAGGUAUGGACUUUGGGCUGCUGCCCACUCUUCUUUAGUAGUCCUAAACCAUUAAUCUCAAAAUUUAACUGUGCCCUAGAAUCAUUAGGACACAUUGAAAAGCAAGCUCUACUCCUUACCACUUUAAAUUAGCCUCCUUUCCAAAGGGUACAGCUCAGGUAUAUGCAGUUCAUUGUUGUUUAUUCUUCCUUAGGC